CACAAAAUUUCAAGACAUAAAUAGUUAUAAAAAAAUAUUUUAUAAUAAUAAUAAAAAAAAUUUUAGAAAAGUUAGCUCCCCUUACCUCCAUUUUAGACUCAAUCUCUUGCUCAGAAUUUAUUCCUCCGAAAACCCUCCAGAACCUCUACUCUUCUAAAAUUUUCUUCCUAACUCUUUCUUCUCUCUAUAUUUUUUUUUCAAGAUUUCUCACUUGAUUCUUCCUCUCUUUAUGCAUAAUAAGCUCUCCUC
rnacentral:lncRNA from 1 species